rnacentral:tRNA from 1 species
ACUUAAAUAGCUUAUAUAGAGUAUGAUAUUGAAGAUAUCAUGGAAAUCGAAGAUUUUUAAGUA